rnacentral:rRNA from 1 species
UACGAAGGGGGCUAGCGUUGCUCGGAAUCACUGGGCGUAAAGCGCACGUAGGCGGCUUUCUAAGUCAGGGGUGAAAUCCCGGAGCUCAACUCCGGAACUGCCUUUGAUACUGGAGAGCUUGAGUUUGGGAGAGGUGAGUGGAACUGCGAGUGUAGAGGUGAAAUUCGUAGAUAUUCGCAAGAACACCAGUGGCGAAGGCGGCUCACUGGCCCGAUACUGACGCUGAGGUGCGAAAGCGUGGGGAGCAAACAGG